rnacentral:rRNA from 1 species
AAUGCUCGAAAGAGUGAACUAGCUAACUGGAAUCACGAAUGUGUCAUUUGUGAUAAUGUAAAGGGAAAAUAAUGAUGUCACUUUACUAUUAGUGUUGUCAAAAGCUGGUGCCAGAAGACUCGGUAAGGCCAGAGACGCGAGCGUAAAUCAUCUUAAAAAGGCGUAAAGGGUAUGUAGGCAGCUUUAAAUAAUUAUAGAUUGAAUCAAAUACAGGUCAAUAGAAUUCUAGACAGGGUUGAUAUCUGUAUAUACUAGGGAGAAUACUAAUUAGCGAAAGCACUUCUCUAUCUUAUGAUUGACGCUGAGAAACGAAGGGGAGGAUAGACAAUAGGAUUAGAUACCCUGGCAUCCCUCUCUGUAAACGAUGAAUGGUAGUUGCUAGUUUAAUAAUUAGUGACGAGGUAACGCGUUAACCAUUCCGCCUUGUGAGUACGACUGCAAAGUUGAAAACAAAAAAAUUAGUCGGUUUCGGAGCCAACGAAGUGAAGCAUGUUAUUUAUUCG